rnacentral:rRNA from 1 species
UGCAGUCGAGCGGACAGAUGGGAGCUUGCUCCCUGAUGUUAGCGGCGGACGGGUGAGUAACACGUGGGUAACCUGCCUGUAAGACUGGGAUAACUCCGGGAAACCGGGGCUAAUACCGGAUGCUUGUUUGAACCGCAUGGUUCAAACAUAAAAGGUGGCUUCGGCUACCACUUACAGAUGGACCCGCGGCGCAUUAGCUAGUUGGUGAGGUAACGGCUCACCAAGGCAACGAUGCGUAGCCGACCUGAGAGGGUGAUCGGCCACACUGGGACUGAGACACGGCCCAGACUCCUACGGGAGGCAGCAGUAGGGAAUCUUCCGCAAUGGACGAAAGUCUGACGGAGCAACGCCGCGUGAGUGAUGAAGGUUUUCGGAUCGUAAAGCUCUGUUGUUAGGGAAGAACAAGUACCGUUCGAAUAGGGCGGUACCUUGACGGUACCUAACCAGAAAGCCACGGCUAACUACGUGCCAGCAGCCGCGGUAAUACGUAGGUGGCAAGCGUUGUCCGGAAUUAUUGGGCGUAAAGGGCUCGCAGGCGGUUCCUUAAGUCUGAUGUGAAAGCCCCCGGCUCAACCGGGGAGGGUCAUUGGAAACUGGGGAACUUGAGUGCAGAAGAGGAGAGUGGAAUUCCACGUGUAGCGGUGAAAUGCGUAGAGAUGUGGAGGAACACCAGUGGCGAAGGCGACUCUCUGGUCUGUAACUGACGCUGAGGAGCGAAAGCGUGGGGAGCGAACAGGAUUAGAUACCCUGGUAGUCCACGCCGUAGACGAUGAGUGCUAAGUGUUAGGGGGUUUCCGCCCCUUAGUGCUGCAGCUAACGCAUUAAGCACUCCGCCUGGGGAGUACGGUCGCAAGACUGAAACUCAAAGGAAUUGACGGGGGCCCGCACAAGCGGUGGAGCAUGUGGUUUAAUUCGAAGCAACGCGAAGAACCUUACCAGGUCUUGACAUCCUCUGACAAUCCUAGAGAUAGGACGUCCCCUUCGGGGGCAGAGUGACAGGUGGUGCAUGGUUGUCGUCAGCUCGUGUCGUGAGAUGUUGGGUUAAGUCCCGCAACGAGCGCAACCCUUGAUCUUAGUUGCCAGCAUUCAGUUGGGCACUCUAAGGUGACUGCCGGUGACAAACCGGAGGAAGGUGGGGAUGACGUCAAAUCAUCAUGCCCCUUAUGACCUGGGCUACACACGUGCUACAAUGGACAGAACAAAGGGCAGCAAAACCGCGAGGUUAAGCCAAUCCCACAAAUCUGUUCUCAGUUCGGAUCGCAGUCUGCAACUCGACUGCGUGAAAGCUGGAAUCGCUAGUAAUCGCG